CGGCUCGACUCUCCCACCCUUUGUGAACGUACCUCUGUUGCUUUGGCGGCUCCGGCCGCCAAAGGACCUUCAAACUCCAGUCAGUAAACGCAGACGUCUGAUAAACAAGUUAAUAAACUAAAACUUUCAACAACGGAUCUCUUGGUUCUGGCAUCGAUGAAGAACGCAGCGAAAUGCGAUAAGUAAUGUGAAUUGCAGAAUUCAGUGAAUCAUCGAAUCUUUGAACGCACAUUGCGCCCCUUGGUAUUCCGGGGGGCAUGCCUGUUCGAGCGUCAUUACAACCCUCAAGCUCUGCUUGGAAUUGGGCACCGUCCUCACUGCGGACGCGCCUCAAAGACCUCGGCGGUGGCUGUUCAGCCCUCAAGCGUAGUAGAAUACACCUCGCUUUGGAGCGGUUGGCGUCGCCCGCCGGACGAACCUUCUGAACUUUUCUCAAGGUUGACCUCGGAUCAGGUAGGGAUACCCGCUGAACUUAAGCAUAUCAAUAAGCGGAG
rnacentral:rRNA from 1 species